rnacentral:rRNA from 1 species
AUUGAACGCUGGCGGCAGGCCUAACACAUGCAAGUCGAGCGGUAGAGAGAAGCUUGCUUCUCUUGAGAGCGGCGGACGGGUGAGUAAUGCCUAGGAAUCUGCCUGGUAGUGGGGGAUAACGUUCGGAAACGGACGCUAAUACCGCAUACGUCCUACGGGAGAAAGCAGGGGACCUUCGGGCCUUGCGCUAUCAGAUGAGCCUAGGUCGGAUUAGCUAGUUGGUGAGGUAAUGGCUCACCAAGGCGACGAUCCGUAACUGGUCUGAGAGGAUGAUCAGUCACACUGGAACUGAGACACGGUCCAGACUCCUANNGGAGGCAGCAGUGGGGAAUAUUGGACAAUGGGCGAAAGCCUGAUCCAGCCAUGCCGCGUGUGUGAAGAAGGUCUUCGGAUUGUAAAGCACUUUAAGUUGGGAGGAAGGGCAUUAACCUAAUACGUU